rnacentral:rRNA from 1 species
AACGAACGCUGGCGGCAUGCCUAACACAUGCAAGUCGAACGAGACCUUCGUGUCUAGUGGCGCACGGGUGCGUAACGCGUGGGAACCUGCCCUUAGGUUCGGAAUAACUCCCUGUAAGGGGUGCUAAUACCGGAUAAUGUAUUCGGACCAAAGAUUUAUCGCUUUUGGAUGGGCCCGGGUUGGAUUUGCUAGUGGGUAGGGUAAAAGCCUACCAAGGCGACGUUCCAUAGCUGGUGUGAGAGGCUGAUCUGCCACACUGGGACUGAGACACGGCCAAGUCUCCUCCGGCGGGCAGCCGUGGGGUGUCCUGGCCGCUGGGCGCUGGCCUGCUCAAGCCAUGCCGGGUGAGUGAUGAAGGCCUUAGGGUAGUAACGCUCUUUUCCCCGGGGUGAUCCUGCCGGUCCCGGGCGCAUAAGCUCCGGCUCCCUCCGUG